AUGAUAACCUCUACCCUAGACAUCUUCCUACUGUGCUUUGUGUACCUGCAGGAUAUCUCUUCACUUCCAGACUCAAUGGUUGGAGAAAAGACUUUGAAGACGCUUUUCCUUACAAAGACCUUUAUCUUGCCAGCUAAGUGGACACCAUUUAAGUCUGGAUCAGCUUUUGCACACUGGAGAAUUAUUAUUUUGAAGCCACUCUGGGAUUUCUGCCUUGUCAUAAAAACUAUUGAGAGCAACUUUCCAAGAAGAACUGAAAAGCUCAAACCAACUAUUUAACUGGGACAGGAUCCAAGAACUCUACUAAAGAUUUUGAAAUCUACUUAUCCAGCCCCAAUAGCUUUGUUAACUUCCAGUCUUGUACCUCCAGCUGUCUAAUAGAUAUCUAUAACUGGAUUUUCUAUAGAGAUUUUAAACUCAACAUGUCCAAAACUGAACUCCUUAUAUUUCCCUUC
rnacentral:lncRNA from 1 species